rnacentral:rRNA from 1 species
AGCAGUCGCCGCGGGAAUACGUAGGUGGCAAGCGUUGUCCGGAAUUAUUGGGCGUAAAGGGCUCGCAGGCGGUUUCUUAAGUCUGAUGUGAAAGCCCCCGGCUCAACCGGGGAGGGUCAUUGGAAACUGGGAAACUUGAGUGCAGAAGAGGAGAGUGGAAUUCCACGUGUAGCGGUGAAAUGCGUAGAGAUGUGGAGGAACACCAGUGGCGAAGGCGACUCUCUGGUCUGUAACUGACGCUGAGGAGCGAAAGCGUGGGGAGCGAACAGGAUUAGAUACCCGCGUAGUCCCUGUCUCUUAUAA